rnacentral:rRNA from 1 species
CUACGGGUCGCUGCAGUGAGGAAUAUUGGUCAAUGGGCGAAAGCCUGAACCAGCCAUCCCGCGUGCAGGAUGACGGCCCUACGGGUUGUAAACUGCUUUUAUACAGGAAGAAACCUCUCUACGUGUAGAGAGUUGACUGUACUGUAAGAAUAAGCAUCGGCUAACUCCGUGCCAGCAGCCGCGGUAAUACGGAGGAUGCAAGCGUUAUCCGGAUUCAUUGGGUUAAAGGGUGCGCAGGCGGAAAUCUAAGUCAGUGGUGAAAUCCUGCGGCUUAACCGUAGAACUGCCAUUGAUACUGGUUUUCUUGAAUACAGUUGAGGUAGGCGGAAUGUGUAGUGUAGCGGUGAAAUGCUUAGAUAUUACACAGAACACCGAUUGCGAAGGCAGCUUACUAAACUGUUAUUGACGCUGAGGCACGAAAGCGUGGGGAGCGAACAGGAUUAGAUACCCCUGUAGUC